rfam:Felis catus isolate Cinnamon breed Abyssinian chromosome D4, whole genome shotgun sequence.
GCCUGGGUGGCUCAGUUGGUUAAGCAUCUGACUUCAGCUCAGGUCAUGAUCUCUUGGUUCGUGAGUUCUAGUCCCACGUCGGGCU